rnacentral:misc_RNA from 1 species
AAAAGCAUUAUCCUUGAAAACUCCAGUAUCUUCGGAGUCCUUUAAACCAAAGCCGUCCGCAUUCUCCUCAGCAUCUUCAAGAUCCAUGUCAAAGACGCCUUUGUUAUGCUCUUCUUGUAGAAUGGCUUCCCAACUUAUGUUUACAUCAAGGUCAGUGAGCAGAUCUACCACCUUGGCCAGCAAUGCGCUACCAAUAGAUUCCCAGAUUUCAUCUCUCUUAAGUUGUAACAUGCACUCCACAAACAACAAAGUCACCUCUUUGGGGGCAUUAUGGUUUGGCAUUUUUUUGCCAAGAGCAUCCUUUAGCUUCAUAGGAGCAAGAGGCACCAAUUCGGCAAUAUCAUGCAAAGCUUGAAGCAGCUGACCUUGAACUUCG